UACGUAGGGGGCUAGCGUUGUCCGGAUUUAUUGGGCGUAAAGAGCUCGUAGGUGGUUUGUCGCGUUGUCCGUGAAAACUCACAACUCAAUUGUGGGCGUGCGGGCGAUACGGGCAGACUGGAGUACUGCAGGGGAGACUGGAAUUCCUGGUGUAGCGGUGGAAUGCGCAGAUAUCAGGAGGAACACCGGUGGCGAAGGCGGGUCUCUGGGCAGUAACUGACGCUGAGGAGCGAAAGCGUGGGGAGCGAACAGG
rnacentral:rRNA from 1 species